GCCUCCCAUUAAGUGAGUGAUAAUGAGUCCAUUAGUUUAAUAAUCAUUGGAGGCCCAAAGGCCUGGUGCUUAUUGACUAAUGAAAUUAUUAUUCAUAAUAUGAUAAUUUGGUUUGAGUCUUUCUGAUGGUGAUCAGGUUGGCCGGCCAAAGUCGGGCCUGAUCAUUUAUUGGUCUGAUUCACCAAAUCAAAUCAUGUUAAUGGUUGGACCUAACCAGAUCUUUUCAGUGGAGGCCAAAGCCUACUGAUUAGGUUCUAGGGUAAAAUCAAUUACUAGAAGUUGUUUAGAGAAACAAUUGGUUAUGAACCUACCCAU
rnacentral:lncRNA from 1 species